GAUGAACGCUGGCGGCGUGCCUAAUACAUACAAGUCGAGCAAACAGACGAGGAGCUUGCUCCUCUGACGUUAGCGGCGGACGGGUGAGUAACACGUGGAUAACCUACCUAUAAGACUGGGAUAACUUCGGGAAACCGGAGCUAAUACCGGAUAAUAUAUUGAACCGCAUGGUUCAAUAGUGAAAGACGGUUUUGCUGUCACUUAUAGAUGGAUCCGCGCCGCAUUAGCUAGUUGGUAAGGUAACGGCUUACCAAGGCAACGAUGCGUAGCCGACCUGAGAGGGUGAUCGGCCACACUGGAACUGAGACACGGUCCAGACUCCUACGGGAGGCAGCAGUAGGGAAUCUUCCGCAAUGGGCGAAAGCCUGACGGAGCAACGCCGCGUGAGUGAUGAAGGUCUUCGGAUCGUAAAACUCUGUUAUUAGGGAAGAACAAAUGUGUAAGUAACUAUGCACGUCUUGACGGUACCUAAUCAGAAAGCCACGGCUAACUACGUG
rnacentral:rRNA from 1 species